GACGAACGCUGGCGGCGUGCUUAACACAUGCAAGUCGAACGGUGAAGCUCCAGCUUGCUGGAGUGGAUCAGUGGCGAACGGGUGAGUAACACGUGAGCAACCUGCCCCAAACUCUGGAAUAAGCGCUGGAAACGGCGUCUAAUACUGGAUACGAGAUCAAGCCGCAUGGUUAUGGUCUGGAAAGUUUUUCGGUUUGGGAUGGGCUCGCGGCCUAUCAGCUUGUUGGUGAGGUAAUGGCUCACCAAGGCGACGACGGGUAGCCGGCCUGAGAGGGCGACCGGCCACACUGGGACUGAGACACGGCCCAGACUCCUACGGGAGGCAGCAGUGGGGAAUAUUGCACAAUGGGCGAAAGCCUGAUGCAGCGACGCCGCGUGAGGGAUGACGGCCUUCGGGUUGUAAACCUCUUUCAGCAGGGAAGAAGCGAAAGUGACGGUACCUGCAGAAGAAGCACCGGCUAACUACGUGCCAGCAGCCGCGGUAACAC
rnacentral:rRNA from 1 species